CCUCAGCUUCGCCUGAGAGCCGGGUUGUGCAAGGGCGGGUCAUUCUGGGGCGCUUAGGGGUGGGUGCCGGGGGACGCGCUUUCCCGCGUGAAGGUCGCGCCAGGAGUCAUGCGUACAUUCGUUCAUUUUGCUCUGGACGUACUGAUGUUUCUACGCGCCGCCGCCACGAGGUGGUCCCACCUCCUUUCGCUGUGUUUCUGUUUACAUUCGCAUCUGCGAGACCCGGCGGCGCGACCGAGGCCCGAACAGAUGGAAAUGGGCUGCCAUGUUGUGAGCUGCCUCAUGGGGAAGAGGCUCACAUGUGAGCAACUGAGGGAGGCCUCCAGAAAACAGCCAGUGAAGAACUGAGACCCUCAGUCCAACAGCCUGUGAGGAACUGAAACCUGCUGACAACCAUAUGAAUGAGCUUGGAAGCAGGUCCUUCCCCAGUGAAGCCUUCAUGUGAGACUGCAGCCCAUUUGACACUUUGAUUUGUAGCCUUGUGACAGACCCCAAGCCAGAGGAGCCAGUGCAGACAGCCAUCACAUUUUCCAGAAGGAGAAAUGGAAACAGUGGAAAGGCAAGUCACUUUGCCCAGGGUUUGCUGUUUUUCACAACCUCAGCAAUGAGGAGCUUUGCCUCAAUAACUCAAGACAAAAUAUAUUAAUAACUCCAAGGCUCAGAAUCCAAAAUCAUCAGAAACCUGGAGAGGGAGCCAGCUGGACUCCUCACUCAACUGAACCUGGUUAGAUCAGUAAAUGCCUCCAGGCUGCAGUUUUCCCAUUUGUGAACUUUGGGCUAAUGGAGAAACCAGGAGAGACCAAGGUUUUGGAUAAGUCACAGAAAGGAUACUACAUCAUCUCAAAGGACAAAAUGCAACUUCUAAGAAUUACAAAAAGCAGGCAAAGCUAAGUGAAGAUGCUUCUCUCCCUCCCCUCUAGAACUCACACUUUGGCACAAAGGCCUUUGAAACACAACACUCUGCAGUGGUCUUUACUGCGGUGGACAGCAACCUGUCCCAAGCCCCAAGCCCUCAGGAGAGGCAUAUUUCUGGGCAAUACGCCUCACUCAACUAACCUCAGUCCUACUAUCUGUGGGUCCACUGAUAACUGCAGAAAAUUGUCAGCUUCCUUCGCAGCCAAGGACUGUAACAGAGAAGGCCAAAGAUUGCAAGCCGGAUGACCCAACAGGCAAAACUUAACCAAUGCUCCCAGAAGCUUUUAGGCACCAUGUGGGAGAAAAUGAGGGGAAGCCACUGGGGCGUGGUCGGAACAUUUUUACCAGGGAGAGUAUGAGUAAAGAACAGGUGGGGCUCUUCCCUAACACACGCCCACUUAACGGUGGGGACUGGUUCUUGCUCAAAGAUGCAGCCCUGCUCUUUCGAUUGUGCGGUGCGCCCCAGCUGUUUGCAAAGGUGUGGUCAGCACGCAAAGACUCCAGACGUCAUUUUGAUAUUUUUAAAACGUUAAACGCCACCAGCAGCCAACUAAGAAUUAACUCUUAGGAGUGUAUGUGCAUAUGUGUGUAUGAACUGGAGGGCAUCCGAGAGCUAGCGUCUCCCACUGGGCCCUGGGCGAGGUGGAGAG